rnacentral:rRNA from 1 species
UACGUAGGUGGCGAGCGUUGUCCGGAAUUACUGGGUGUAAAGGGCGUGUAGGCGGGGAUGUAAGUCAGAUGUGAAAUACCGAGGCUUAACUUCGGGGCUGCAUCUGAAACUAUAUUUCUUGAGUGUCGGAGAGGAAAGUGGAAUUCCCAGUGUAGCGGUGAAAUGCGUAGAUAUUGGGAGGAACACCAGUGGCGAAGGCGACUUUCUGGACGAUAACUGACGCUGAGGCGCGAAAGCGUGGGGAGCAAACAGG